rnacentral:rRNA from 1 species
GACGAACGCUGGCGGCGUGCUUAACACAUGCAAGUCGAACGGAAAGGCCCCUUUGGGGGUACUCGAGUGGCGAACGGGUGAGUAACACGUGAGUAACCUGCCCUUGACUUCGGGAUAACUUCAGGAAACUGGGGCUAAUACCGGAUAGGAAUCCUUGCUGCAUGGUGGGGGUUGGAAAGCUUCGGCGGUUUUGGAUGGACUCGCGGCCUAUCAGCUUGUUGGUGGGGUAGUGGCUUACCAAGGCUUUGACGGGUAGCCGGCCUGAGAGGGCGACCGGCCACAAUGGGACUGAGAUACGGCCCAGACUCCUACGGGGGGCAGCAGUGGGGAAUAUUGCACAAUGGGCGGAAGCCUGAUGCAGCAACGCCGCGGGCGGGAUGACGGCCUUCGGGUUGUAAACCGCUUUCAGCAGGGGCGAAGCUUGUGGUGACGGUACCUGCAGAAGAAGCACCGGCUAACUACGUG